ACUUUUCACUAGCCUAUCGUCUAGAUCAGCUGUCUUCCCCCAAUCCAUGUUCUUCUUCUCGCCCUCUUACUCUCACCCAUCUGGGGUUCUAGAUCCAUCAUCUUUUUCCCUCUUUUGAUUUGUUCUUGUCACAUCUGAAGCUUGGAUCGUGUGGUUUGUCUUCAGUUACAGUGAUUGAUAUGGUGAAGGGUAAAGAAAGGACUAGAUUAAGAGGUGGAAAGCGUAGAGGCCGCACUUCUCAAGCUCAUUCAAACAUUGAAGGAUCAAGCAAUGCUGAUAGUGCACCAUUUUCAAAUGGCAAUAUUCCAAAUGUUGAUGAAACAAUGAAUAGUAUUGGAUCUCAAGAACCCAAUCAUAAUGUUGUAGCUAUUAGUGCUACUCAAGGAAAGCAUGGUACCACACAAGAUGCUUCAACCAUUAAUGGCAGGUUGUGUAUCACAGUUGUGAAUGGAUUGUUAGAAGCAUCUAGCAAAUGUGCACAGAUAAUCACAAAAUUGUUUUAAAAAAGGGUUGACUUUGAAGGAUGCACAUAGAAGAUGGUGUCACAACCUGUAAGAGAUUUUUAUUUUGAAGAAUUUAGGGUAUCAUUAAUUAAUAAUUCUAAUUUAUUUAUCUGGUUGCUUAUUUUUACUUGUUUUGAACAUUGAAGUACUUUUAUCUUAUGUAGAAGCACUUCAUUUGGGAUUCCUCAUUAGAGGCACAAGUAAAAGAGCCUUUGGGUUUUGAAACCCUUAUAGUGAUAUCGUGAUUUUUUGAGAGAUAAAAGAUGCAAUAACAAAGCAAGAUUAUCUAAGUGAGAAGGACUCAAACAUUAAUCAGUUGUCUGGGAUAAAACUUCAUUUAAAAAAAAAGAGAUAAAUUUUGACACAGUGUUGCUUGGUCAUCAUGCUAUACAGGAGGGAAGAAGCUUGUAUGUAUAAAUAUAAAAUUUUAAAUGUAUUGAGAUGGGUUUAUUUUAUUUUAUUUUUUCCUUUCGAAAAUUCAUAUAUUACAUGUUGCCAAGGAGUUUUAAUAUUUGUUAUUGUUAUAGAAUUCUAAAUUGGGUUGGAAAGCCACUCCACAUGAGCUUUUUUGCAUACUCAUACUAAAAACCAUGAUGGGGAAACUUUUGUAGAUCUCAAGUCAAAAAUAAUCAAUGAUAAGAUGUUGACCUUGAAACAACAUGCACCUUCUACAGAAUCUAGAUUAGGAAACUCAGAACGUACUCCAGUAGAAGAAUCAGCCCUUUAUAUUAAAGUUGUUGGUGUAGAGAAAAAAGAAGAGCCUAUGUUCUUGGCUCCCAAGCAUCUUCCAAUUAUUGAUGCACCAAUUCAAAUGUCAAUAACUCAAUUUCAACAUCUUCUUACUAUGCAAAAUAACGAAGAUUUACAAAAUGAGUCAGCAUCUUUGUGUAAUCAACUACAAAUCCGAGAAGAGUAGCAUCAAUAAGAGCUUCGAGAAACUCGGCAGAGAUGGCUAAAAUGAGGAUGAUGCUACAAUUAUUUCUAUUUCAAAAUCAAGCACCUUCUCAAAAAAAUCAUGGAUGUCAUGAUGAAGGUGUUGAUCCUUUUACACCUAGUUAAUUGUUGUCAUUCUUUUGUUGUAACGUAUUUGUCCUAUUUGUUGAUUGCUUGUGAUACUUUUGAGUUUCAGAACUU